rnacentral:rRNA from 1 species
GACGAACGCUGGCGGCGCGCUUAACACAUGCAAGUCGAGCGAGAACCAGGGCUUCGGCCCUGGGGAAAGCGGCGAACGGGUGAGUAACACGUGAGUAACCUGUCCUCGGCACCGGGAUAGCCCGGGGAAACCCGGAUUAAUACCGGAUGGCCUUUCGAGUCUUCGGGCUCGUCAGAAAGGGAGCUUCGGCCUCCGGCCGAGGAGGGACUCGCGGCGGAUUAGCUUGUUGGUGGGGUAACGCUCACCAAGGCGACGANCCGUAGCUGGUCUGAGAGGACGAUCAGCCACACUGGGACUGAGACACGGCCCAGACUCCUACGGGAGGCAGCAGUGGGGAAUCUUGCGCAAUGGGCGAAAGCCUGACGCAGCGACGCCGCGUGCGGGAAGAAGGCCUC